UGUUUGGUUUGUUGAUUGGUUGUGUUGAAGGGAUUUUGUAUUUGUAUGUGCGGAAAUGUGUUAAGGACAGGUAGAUUUUGUGUUGGAUAUUCAGGUUUUUCCCUAGCUGACCCACCUGGCAUACGAGUAGGGCACUAGUAGGCGAAACCACCCUGGCUACCACCACCUACCAGCUUUAGAAACCCACCACCAGAGGUCUUCGAGCGGCCCAUUCAGGCGGCCAUUAGGAGGGCGAAAUAGGGGCCAUUGCAACAAACCCGAAUGAAAGGGUAAUGACCGAUGGCUCAGGUCAAGAACCUUGAAGGCCAAUACUGAAAUUCCACUCGCUCAAUUGCCUAAAGACAGUCCCAGAGAUUAGUUCGAAGUAAAGUUUAAAGCUGUGAGCAAAUUUAGUAAGACAGAAGUUAUAGUGGAAAGAGUGGAAAGAGAGGAGGAAGAAGUGAGCGGAAAGUGGACAUCAGGACCCCGCCGUUUUGGUAUAGAAACCACCACAUUUCUAUUACCGCCCCUACGCUGUCCUAGUGCCCCAUUCCGGGUGAAUUCCGGCAUCGUUGUUGGCCGAAGACCGAUCCGCCAAUAUCGGUAGCCUAGGAUGCGUGGGAAGGUCCCAGGAA